rnacentral:rRNA from 1 species
AGAAUCAACGCUGGCGGCGUGCCUAACACAUGCAAGUCGCACGAGAAAGUGGAGCAAUCCAUGAGUAAAGUGGCGCACGGGUGAGUAACACGUGACUAAUCUACCCUCGAGUGGGGAAUAACUGAGAGAAAUCUUAGCUAAUACCGCAUAACACUUACGAGUCAAAGCAGCAAUGCGCUUGGGGAGGAGGUCGCGGCCGAUUAGCUAGUUGGCGGGGUAAUGGCCCACCAAGGCGAUGAUCGGUA